rnacentral:rRNA from 1 species
AUUGAACGCUGGCGGCAGGCCUAACACAUGCAAGUCGAGCGAGCGGCGGACGGGUGAGUAAUGUCUGGGAAACUGCCUGAUGGAGGGGGAUAACUACUGGAAACGGUAGCUAAUACCGCAUACCAUCGGAUGUGCCCAGAUGGGAUGAGCUAGUGGGUGGGGUAACGGCUCACCUAGGCGACGAUCCCUAGCUGGUCUGAGAGGAUGACCAGCCACACUGGAAAGGAGACACGGUCCAGACUCCUACGGGAGGCAGCAGUGGGGAAUAUUGCACAAUGGGUGCAAGCCUGAUGCAGCCAUGCGGCGUGUAUGAAGAGGGCCUUCGGGUUGUAAAGUGCUUUCAGCGGGGAGGCGUUACCCGCAGAAGAAGCACCGGCUAACUCCGUGCCAGCCGCCGCGGUAAUAC